GCCCUUUAGUGGCUGUGGUGGCCGGAAGUUGUUCACCAUGUGGACCCUCUCAUCGUCCUCCGAGAUGAGAAAAGCAAGGCUCAGAGAUGAGUAGCUGGAAGAUGCACAGUGAGUGACGGAACAAAGAUGAAAGCCCAGGGCUGCUGGGCUCCUCAUUCAAUACUGUCCAAAAUCACUGGAGAGGGAGGAAGUAGAUUUUAAAUUUGACUCUCAUUUGUGUGUAUAUGCAAGUCCUCUCCAAAAGGACUUUAGAGAAGCUAGGGAGAGUGUUUACCUACAGGGAGGAGACUGGGUGCCGGAAGGUUGAGGGAAGGUGUGGUAUGGGGUGGGAAGGACACUCCACUCUACUGGGAUUCCUUUGUAUCUCUUGAAUGAAUUAAAUCAUGUAUUACCUCUUUAACAACCACAUAAAAGUUGAUCCAGUUCUUUCCUUCCUGCA